rnacentral:rRNA from 1 species
UACAGAGGGUGCAAGCGUUGUUCGGAAUUAUUGGGCGUAAAGCGCACGUAGGCGGCUUGCCAAGUCGGACGUGAAAUCCCUCAGCUCAACUGAGGACGUGCAUCCGAAACUGGCGAGCUUGAGUACUGAAGAGGAUCGCGGAAUUCCCGGUGUAGAGGUGAAAUUCGUAGAUAUCGGGAGGAACACCAGUGGCGAAGGCGGCGAUCUGGGCAGAUACUGACGCUGAGGUGCGAAAGCGUGGGGAGCAAACAGG